rnacentral:rRNA from 1 species
UACGAAGGGGGCUAGCGUUGCUCGGAAUUACUGGGCGUAAAGCGCACGUAGCGGUCUUUUAAGUCGGGGGUGAAAUCCUGGAGCUCAACUCCAGAACUGCCUUCGAUACUGGAAGACUUGAGUCCGGGAGAGGUGAGUGGAACUGCGAGUGUAGAGGUGAAAUUCGUAGAUAUUCGCAAGAACACCAGUGGCGAAGGCGGCUCACUGGUCCGGUACUGACGCUGAGGUGCGAAAGCGUGGGGAGCAAACAGGGAUUAAGAAACCCCAGUAAC